GGACAGAACAUGGAAACAAUGCAAUUGGGAUCAAGAAGAAGGACUGGAGACUACAGCAGCGAUCCUGCUCUUGCCCUACCUCUUCAAUGAGGACCCGAGUGGCCUUUAUGUCCGUGACAUGAUUUCACCGCUCUUCGCUCCUUUACUGCACAUCGGUGGAAAUCCAUUUCACCAUGAGAGUGAAAUCCCGCUGGCCUUUGAUGGGGAGAACAUCCACGCCCUUGAGGACGUCCCCAUGGGACUUGGGGCUCUGCUUCGGGUGUAUUUAAAAAAAUGUUCCCUUAAAUUUCCCGAAAAUGUCAGAAAAACGCAACCUCACACUCAACGUCAACAAAACUAAGGAGAUGAUUGUGGACUUCAGGAAACAGCAGA